CCUACGGGUGGCAGCAGUCGAGAAUCAUUCACAAUGGGGGAAACCCUGAUGGUGCGACGCCGCGUGGGGGAAUGAAGGUCUUCGGAUUGUAAACCCCUGUCAUGUGGGAGCAAAUUAAAAAGAUAGUACCACAAGAGGAAGAGACGGCUAACUCUGUGCCAGCAGCCGCGGUAAUACAGAGGUCGCAAGCGUUGUUCGGAAUCACUGGGCGUAAAGCGUGCGUAGGCUGUUUCGUAAGUCGUGUGUGAAAGGCGCGGGCUCAACCCGCGGACGGCACAUGAUACUGGGAGACUAGAGUAAGGGAGGGGGAAGCGGAAUUCUCGGUGUAGCAGUGAAAUGCGUAGAUAUCGAGAGGAACACUCGUGGCGAAGGCGGGUUCCUGGACAUUAACUGACGCUGAGGCACGAAGGCCAGGGGAGCGAAAGGGAUUAGAUACCCUUGUAGUC
rnacentral:rRNA from 1 species